rnacentral:rRNA from 1 species
UACGUAGGGGGCAAGCGUUGUCCGGAUUUAUUGGGCGUAAAGAGCGUGUAGGCGGUUAGGUAGGUCCGUUGUGAAAACUCGAGGCUCAACCUCGAGACGCCGAUGGAAACCAUCUGACUAGAGUCCGGAAGAGGAGAGUGGAAUUCCUGGUGUAGCGGUGAAAUGCGCAGAUAUCAGGAAGAACACCCGUGGCUAAGGCGGCUCUCUAGUACGGUACUGACGCUGAGACGCGAAAGCGUGGGGAGCGA